rnacentral:lncRNA from 1 species
ACUAAUGAGUUCAUGCCAAUCUAAUCGAUUCAACAUCCCUUUUAACAUGAACAAACACUCAAAUUUUAUGAAUAAUCUUAUCACAAGUUGAAUCUUAAGCCGUUUAUACAACCUUCAGUUCUCUUUAACUUUUCCCAUUCAUUAAGUUCCAAACAAAGAAAAAUCUAAUAAAAAAUUAAGAUAUCAUGCUGACUUAAGAAUUAAAAAAACAAAAAAUCACAACUCCACUGCCCAGUCACACUCGUUCUUUUAGCGAACAGUCAUCAAGAAACAAAGCCAUUAAUCACACCAUGGUGCAUGAAUAACACAUAUUUGCAUGAAUAAUCAAGCAGAAAACUUAAAAUAUAGAUAAUGACAAACGAAGAUCACACAUAAACCAAACAUCUAACAACAUUAUAAACCAAAAUAUGCCGUGAAUUCAUCACGCAUCUAGAGAAGAAGAUAACAAGAACAUUGUACCAUCAAUGGUCUUUAACGAUUUAUGUUUGGGAAUGCAAGUAAAAGCCGGCAACCGGGGACCUCGACGGAAAUCUCGACGAACUUUAACCAGACUGCCUCGCUUGUCUUCCGCCCAUCGUUACUGUUUUUCGAACUCCAGCCAGCUAUGGUGAGGAUGAGCAGUGGCAAUGGGGAGAAGAACGGGUGGUCGUUUGGAGGAGGUUUUGAGACGACAGUGGCGCUGGGGCUGGUCGUUUUGUGUGAGGGUCUGUCCGGUGUCAUGGUGAGGGACGACGACUGGUGUUUUCCGGUGACUGCUGGGGACGGGUAGUUGUUUGGGUGGUGUGGCUGUUUAGCGUGGUCGACUGUCGUUUGGUCGUGAGGGUGAGGGACGAGUUGGUCGUUUGGACUGUCUGGUUAGAGACGAGGAAGAAGCUGGCUGGCGUUGCUGGGGUGGGUCGACGACGAAGAAGUAGGUGGUCGACUGGGUGGUCUGCUUGGUUUUUCCGGCAGGCUGGUUUGGCGGAGGAAGCUGGUUGGAGAUUUUUUCUUUUGUUGUCCUAUUUUUGUUCUUUGUUUAAAUGAAGAAGAAGAUACAUCAUGUCAAUCCACUCUCAAAUUGUGUAUCUGUGUCCUGUCUGGUGUU